rnacentral:lncRNA from 1 species
GAAUUGGCAUUUGAAAAUUCUUGAUUUAAAGCAAUGACCUCGGAUUGAAACGUUUUGAAACCCUUUAUUCCAUCUCGUCACUCUUCUUCUGAAUCCUUUACAUCCCAGUCUGAGAGACUCUCCAGGAAAGUCCAGGUUUUUGAAAGAGGUAAGUUAUCUAUUGCCCUUUGUUGUCUAAAAUAUGUUAUUAAAAUUGCAUUUUUAUUUUUUUAUUUGUUUACACACUAAUUUUUAACCAUGUUUAAUUAAAGGAACACUAUAGUAACCUAAACAACACGAGCUUCAUGAAGCAGUUUUAGUGUAUAGAUCAUGCUUCUCCGGUUUCAUUGCUCAAUUUACUGCCAUUUAGGUUUUGUUUCUGUUUAUGCAGCCCUUGUCACACCUCCCCUGACUCUGAUUGACACAGCCUGCAUGAAAAAAACUGGUUUCACUUUCAGUAAGAUGUAAUUUACCUUAAAGUUGCACUGUCAUGCUGAAUCCUGUUGUGUUUUUUUUUUUUUAACCCCCCUGCGGCCUCCACUACAUCUAACACCCUAGUCACCCCCAAAUGCCCCUAAGCCCCCCACAUGACCUAUUUUUUAUUCCUUAUUUUCUGCCCCGAUCUAUAUUCAGGGCGCCGCCAUCUUUGUGUGGGUAGAUGAAGUCCCUGUGGGACACGUCAUCAGCCCACACUAGAUGGCCUGUGAGAUUCCCGCACAUGCCCAGUGAAACACCUGGACAUGCGAACGGGAAUUUCAUCCAUUCAUUCAACAGACAGACGAAUGAGUGAAUAGAAAUAUCAGCCGAACAAACAAACACUGUGUAUCAGUGUUUGUUUGUCCGUGCAGUUUAUUACAAGGAGGGAGCUACCGGCGCACAGCUCCCUCCUUAUAAUAUGUAACUAUAGAAGCGGCAGGGAGCAGUGCUCCCCACCACUUCAUAAGCCCCCCCCAGGUCCCCCCUCACUCUAUGGGGGUCAAUAUGACCCCCAUAAUAGCACAAGGGAGAUUAAAAUCUCCCCAAUGCCCCUACUCGCUAUACCACGAGUAGGGGCAUGUCCACUAAACAGUGAGCAGCAUGUGGCUGCUCACCGUAAAAAAAAAAAAAAAAAAUUGGCCCCCACCAAUAUUUUUUUUUUUUUUUUGCCCUAAAGUAAAACAAGGGGGGACCUACUGCCCCCGGCCCCCACCCCUGGGCGGCGGGUGGGGGCCAUGAAGAUAAUGAGGGAGGGGGGACCUACUGUCCACCCCCCCCCUCCGGCCCCCACCCCUGGGCGGCGGGUGGGGGCCAUGAAGAUUAAGAGGAGGGGUCACCUACUGUCCCCCCCACCUCCGGCCCCCACCCCUGGGCGGUGGGUGGGGGCCAUGAAGAUAAUGAGGGGGGGUGGGACGACCUACUGCCCCCCACCACUGGGUGGCGGGUGGGUGCCAAAUGAUGAGGGGGGGACACCUACUGGGCGGCGGGAGGGGGCCAUAAGUCAUAUAAAGCCUUGCCCCGUCCUGCAAUUAGGCUAAGAACACUCUGAUUGGUGGGUUUAAGCCAAUCAGUGCUCUGUCAUUUUACACAGCGUGGGAAAAUUCAAAAGAACGUUCCCACGCUGUGUAAAAUUACACAGAGCACUGUGAUUGGAUGGCUUGAAAUUUGGGGGGGGGGUGGGUCACCUUGGUGGGGAGGGGGGAAAUUGACUUAGGGCCCCCACCCGCCGCCCAGGGGUGGGGGCCGGGGGGUAGCCCAGGGGUGGGGGCGGGGAGGGAGGACAGUAGGUCCCCCCCAUUAUCUUUAUGGCCCCCACCCGCCGCCCAGGGGUGGGGGCCGGGGGGGGCAGUAGGUCCCCCCCCAUUAUCAUUUGGCCCCCACCCGCUGACCAGGGGUGGGGGACGGGGGGGUGGACAGUAGGUCCCCCCCUCUCUGAUUAUCUUUAUGGCCGCCGCCCAGGGGCCCCCCAUUAUCAUUGACACCCACCCAGCGCAGAGGGGUGGACAUUAGGUCUCCCCCCUUAUUUUACUUUAGGGCCCCCACCUGUCAUUUAGGGGUGGGGGCCAAUAGUUUUUUUUUUUGUUUUUUUGUUUUACAGUGAGCAGCCCCAGGCUGCUCACUGUUUACCAGACAUGCCCCUACUCACGUUAUAGCGAGCAGGGGCAUAUUAUUUACUAAUACUAAGUAAUUUUUACUUAGUAUUAGUAAAUGUGGCUGAAAGACCAAUUUAGGUCUUUCAGCCUUUUAGUAGAUAACUCCCUAAUUCCCACGGUAUCAGGGAGUUAUCUACUAAGCAGCUGCAAGAUGCAGCCACAGCAUGGAUAGGAUCGGAGUUUCAUUCAUUCGAAUGAAAUUACGAUCCUAAUAAAAUGCUGAAUUGCGUUCUAAAAGAAACGAACAUACUGUUCUCAUUCAGUUAGAAUGCAAUUCGGCAGUUUAGUGUAAAGUGACAGGAAGCAUCGCGGGAAUGCAGAGGAAAGGUAAGGAUCAUGGGAAAAUUGCUCUGACCAGCGGAGGAAUCCUCCAUAAGGCAAAGAGUCCAUCACUUGCUUUCAAGCUUGAACAAUUAAGAUGCGCCUUUUUUUUUUUUUUUGAGCUGAAAAUUGUCAGAAUACAAUUUCCUACUCUUUACUCAUCUGAGAAUUCUCUGAGCAUCUGAAUAAAGUGGCAGGAUAUAUCCAAUUUACAUUUAGAUAAGAUACCACAAAUUGUUUAGCAGAGUUCAAUUUCCAUACACUGCCAUCACUUUUUGGGAACUGCUUCCGAGUUACUUAACAGCUGUAAAACAACCUCUGUUAAAGAUCUUGUGAACUACAUUUCUCUCACGAUGCUCUCACAACCUGUCCUAGGCUAUCUGUACCGUUAUAUUAACAAGUCUAGUUGAUGUUUAUUUUUGCUAUAAAUGUGUGUAUUUGUUCUAUUUCCGUUCAGUGAUUUAUCUUUGCAACUCUCGCAGUUACAUAACAGCUAUGUUUAUAACUUUGCUUUCAUUCCAAGGUCAGUCAAGUACAGAAGCUAUUCUUGAAAACUUUUAUUUAACCCCUUAAGUACACAUGACAUGUCAUGAUUCCCUUUUAUUUCAGAGGUUUGGUCCUUAAGGGGUUAAAUGGACAGUAUAGUCCCUAAAAUGGCUUUAGCUCAAUGAAUCCGUUUUGCUGUAUAGCUCAUGCCCAUGCAGUCUGACUGCUCAAUUCUCUGAAAUUUAGGAUUUAAAUUAGAUUUGUUUCUCUCUAUGCAGCACCUUCCCUGGCUGUGCCUCCCGAUAGCCUGCAUGGAAAAGAAAUGGUGUCAAUUUUAAUCAGAUUCGAACUUGCUUUAGAAAUUUUAUCUCCUGCUCUGUAAAUUUUAAUCACACACAGGAGGCUCUUGCAAUGUCUAGCAAGUAUUGGCAGUGCAGGAGAUUAGAAAUUCUUAAUUGAACAGAAUGUACAACAAAAGUGUAAACAUUAGAUUUCACUUUACAGGAAGUGUUUGCGAAGGCUGUAGAAGUCACAUACAGGGAGGUGUGACUAGGGCUGUAUAAAGUGAUUUAACGCUUAAAUGGCAGAGAAUUGAGCAGUGAGAUCUAUGCACCAAACCUGUUUAAUUAAAGGGACACUGUAGGCACCCAGACCACUGUAGCCAAUUGAAGUGGUCUGGGUGCAAACUUCCUUAACCCUCAGCAUGUAAUAAUUGCAGUUUUUAUAAACUACAAUAAUUACUUGCUAGGGUUAACUCUUCCUCUAGUGGCUGUCUACCAGACAGUCACUAGAGGGACUUCCGGGUGCUUAGACGACUUCUGGUUGUCUAAACGACGCUGGACGUCCUCACGUUAUGUGGAUCACCGGUAUCCCCAUAGGAAAGCAUUGAAUGCUUUCUUAUGGGGAGAUCCUAAUGCGCAUGCCAACCAUUUAAGGGGGAGGAGCGUGGGCAUCACUGAGUGACAGGAGUUUCCUUUUAAGCCAAAGUUGUUUUUGUGACACUGUCCCUUUUAAAAAUAGCAACUGCUUGUUGGUGACAUUUACAGUUACAUUGGCUUUUCCAAUGCUCUAUGCUUUUUUUAAAUUAAUUUAUUUAUUUUUUUAAAAACACAUUACGCUUGCAGUCAGUUUGAAACCUUUUUCUUCUGUGUUGUCUUAAUUCUUUUAUUUUGAUAUUCUGAAAAGGGACUUCAACCUAGAUAUGUUUCUGCCCAGACAUGAUUUGCCCAAGACAGUGUGCCAGUUAUAUUUAUUACAUUUUACAUUUAUUUACAUUUUUCAUUGAUAGCAUUGUAAUCCAUAAACAUAAUUGCUAAUCAUCCCUCAAAGCAGUCCAUAUUUAAAAGAUCGUUUCCUGCUAAAUGGCAGCUGCUUGUCACAGGCCUCAUUUGUUUGAUACGUGAUAUCCCUCAAGGUGCUAGGGAGAGGGGGAGCCUCUUUGAGUAUUUAAAAUACAGUAUUCUCUACUGUCCGUUGGUGGUUGAGCUGUCUUUUCAAUGGUUAUAAAACAACCUCAAUAUACUGAAAUAUAAUCUGGUUUCCUAUGAAGUCUUUAUCUGCUCAGGUCACUGCAAACUGUUAGUGAUAGGGUUGGUAUGAUUAAUGUCGGUGAUAUAAAACCCAGCCAUAUACAGAGGUUUUUAAAAGUCUAAGACUUCUUGGUAAAAAGUAUUUGUUUUUUACCAGCUGUUCUUUCCAGAUAAAACAAAAGUAGAAUUUUCGUUUAGUCUUCUGUACUGUUAUAGAAACAUAGUCAUCAGAGGAGUACAUCUGACGAAUGAAGCUCUCACUUUUAAUUUGCUUAUGUUGGGAUUUUAUCGAUGUUGAAGUAGUAAAUAAAAUUUAUUCCACACUAAACUUUUACAAACUUUUAAAUAAGCCAGUUUCUGAAGUCUGACAAACUCCUUCAGUUCUUUUGAAAUAAAUCAAACUGGACCCAUUUUCAUAUAUAGACGGAUGGGUGUAGAUUUCAAGAGUUCGUAUGGGUCCCAUGCACUUUGAUCCACACACAAUCUGUGUAUAUAUUUUUUACAAUUCCACUUGCGUCUGAUCUAGCACAUACAUGACACUCGUUCCAUUCAACACCUACAUUACAUAUAACACAUAAAUCACAUGCUUGUGAAUAGUCUGAUGCUACCCUUUUCAGCAUCUAUAUCUGUAAUCCUUAGCAGCCUUACAUGAAGAAAGAAGCUUGGCUGUAAUUUAUCUACAAACAUAGCAAGAUCUGGGGUAUGUUCAACCUACCCUCCUUAUUUGUGGAAGAGGUGUCAAGUAGUGUUGGAAAGGAAUGGGGAAGCUUGUUAAUCUAUCUUUAGGUCAAUCUAAGGUCUCACAUUGCUGCUUGCUGUCCCCAUAUUAUGCACAAUGUGCUCACAGGAUCUAUUGUGUGGAGCCCAUUUCUAGUCGCCAUGGUUUCCAUGUAUUGUUAAGCUGUAUUAAUAUACCUUGCUGUAGUAAUCCAUGCAUUUCUGAUUGUGGGAAUCGGACUUGGUUUUUGCAGCCUGAAUGAAACCAUUUUCCUUUCGCAUCAAACACUUCCUGCUGUUUCCUCUAUACAGACUCCUGGGUCUUGCUAUUAAGUGAGAAGUGAACAGAAUUACUUUCCUAGAAUUUUUCUUACACCACAGGAUAAUGGGUAUAUUUAUCCGUGUCUGUGGACCAAGUUGUAGAGUUUGCAUAGAGAGCCCUGUCUGUCCUCUCUACCUAAUGUACCAACUCUUAAUAUAUAUUUAAAUGUUUGAAGACCCUUUUCUCCCUUUCUGACAGCCAUCAUUAUGCCCAUUGGGUCAGGCUGUGUUCUCCUAAUCUGUGCUCACUAUUUUGCAGCAGUCUGCUGCUUUUUGAAAUUAUGUUUUAGAAAAUGUUGCUGGUAGCAAAAUAGUGAUGCACAGUCUGACCAAAGGUGCAUUAAAAAAAGGAAGAAAGAUGUGAAAGAUAGGCAAGUGAUUUCUUCAAACUUUCAAUAUGAAUUUUAAAAAUAAAUGUAUUUAAUGAUGGUAAAUAUUUUCUCUGGUAGUUAGCCUUGUAUAUGAAUGGAGGAAAAGGAUGUACAUUGCAUUCAUAGGCCAAAGUGUGUGUGUCUGUCUUAAACCUUUUCUCCUAACUUUAGAUAGAUGUACACACACACACACACACACACACACACACACAAAAAGCACAAUAAUUCCCAUAUCUAAUAAGCACAGAAGCCAUAAUAAAGGAACACGAGUAACAUGCUGUGUGGAAAAACUGUUGAACUCUGCGAAGCGUUUAACUCUUAAACUAAACAUUCAAAUUCAGUUUUCUUAACCAGUCAGUCUCUUAGCAAAAAAAAAAUCAUACAUGAAGAUGUGUGCUUGUGUUAAAUCUGUUUGAGGAGGUAGGCAACUGUAAUCUAGAACUCAGCUGUAAAUUUAUUUCUGACUGCAAGCUAUGCACCAUGAAUAAUAAGUGACUGUUCAGGUAGAGACUACUGGGCCCAGGGCUCAAUUUCUACUUUCCACUAGCCAUUAGUGUGUGACAAAAUUGCCAUGGAGAGUAGAAAUUCACCUCUGGUUUGUAAUGGCAGGUAACUUUUAGGUUUAGUAGAAUAGGAUUUCAAUGUUAGACUUUGACAGGAUUUACAUAAAGAUAAAUGCAAGUUCAAGCUGUACAUGUCUUAAUCGAUUGUGUUCAUUUUUAACAUAUUACAAGGAAGCUCGGUCACCCAGACCACUUCAUCUCAAUGAAGUUGUCUGGGUGUAGUGUCCUUGUAGUUUUAACCCCACAAUGUAAAACAUUUUUUUUUUUUUAGUAACUGCAUAAUUAAACUGCACAAUUAAAUCCAUCAUUAGUGGCUGUCUUCCUGACAGCCUCUAGAGGCACUUCUGCAGCCCUGACAAAGUAAAACUUGGUCACAUGACACGGAAGCUCAUAGGAAAGCAUUAAAUACAAUAUGGGGAAGCUUGGAUGUAUGCAACACUUGGGCGGCACACAUGCCCAUCAGGUCCUCAGUGCUCCCCUGUGAGGAACAUUGGAUUGAACAGUCGCUGAAGGAGGACAUGGGGGCACCUAAUUAUUAUAGGGGAAAGUUUCACUGUUACGAAUACAAGUUUGUAUUCUCAAAGCUAUAGUGUUCCUUUAAUUUUGGGUUGGGUUAGCUGUUGCGCUUUGAUUAUGUAUGCUCCAUUCAUUGACUUACAUAAUAUUUAUUUAAGGCAGCUAUAUUACCUUCUGGGACAUUUGCAUUCUCUGGCUCCCAAGGGUGAUGUUGCCAGAAAGUCCAGUGCAGGGGGAAUAUACUUACCUGAUGCUGUCUGAGACUGGCACUGCCAUUUUUCUUCAGCCUGCUAGAGUACAAAACUGAUGUCAGUAGAAGAUCCCAGGAGACUGCAGGAGUUUCCAUAGACUUUUUUUUCUCAAUAUUGACGGCUGGGGGUACUGACAAAACGUGACUGAUGUAGCUCUUCCUUUUAUCAAGUGUGGGCAUAACACAAAAGAGACCCUAUUUUUUUCUUAUAUCUUUGACGCCAUCAGAAUGAGUAUUUCAUAAAGAUAUUUCAUCGAUCUUCCAAUGCAGGUAAAAUAUAUCCAAUAACGUAGGGAUUUUGAGUUUCAUAUUUUGCCUUUCAAAUUUUCCUUCCGUAAAACUUGGCAUUUGGGUCCUUGGCAUUGCUAGCUAAUAGAUGGUAACUUACAUACCAGUACAAAAACUACAUUUUUUAAUAUGCUUCCUUGUGAAUAGAUUGUAAGAAAACAAAGCAAAUUUGUGCAAAACAUCUGUGCUCUUUGAAAAAAUUCUGGCUGUGUGAGGUUAGGAUUCUUGAAAUUUAGAUACAAUUGCCCAGUAUAGUACUAAUAUUAAAAGAGAAUAUUUGCUAACGCCAUUUACUUUGCUCCUGGUCCAGUUUAGAUUACGCCUCCCCCUGUGUAAAGUAGAAAAAAUAAAUGCACCCCCUUUUAUUCCAGCGCCGUCCUGUGCUUUCCACAGCCGCUGCUUUUCCUUCUGCUGAGAAUCUGUUU